GAUGAACGCUAGCUACAGGCUUAACACAUGCAAGUCGAGGGGCAGCGGGAUUGAAGCUUGCUUCAAUCGCCGGCGACCGGCGCACGGGUGAGUAACGCGUAUCCAACCUUCCGUACACUCAGGGAUAGCCUUUCGAAAGAAAGAUUAAUACCUGAUGGUAUGAUGAGAUUGCAUGAUAGCAUCAUUAAAGAUUUAUCGGUGUACGAUGGGGAUGCGUUCCAUUAGGUAGUAGGCGGGGUAACGGCCCACCUAGCCAACGAUGGAUAGGGGUUCUGAGAGGAAGGUCCCCCACAUUGGAACUGAGACACGGUCCAAAACUCCUACGGGAGGCAGCAGUGAGGAAUAUUGGUCAAUGGACGAGAGUCUGAACCAGCCAAGUAGCGUGAAGGAUGACUGCCCUAUGGGGUUGUAAAACUUCUUUUAUAAAAGGAAUAAAGUCGGUAUGGAUACCGUUUGCAUGUACUUUAUGAAUAAAGGAUCGGCUAACUCCGUGCCAGCAGCCG
rnacentral:rRNA from 1 species